rnacentral:lncRNA from 1 species
UAUCUCCCCAUCUCCGCGUCAACCGCGGGAAGGUGAGCACACGACGGCUGCCUCCAGCUUGCUCUCUUGCUCGUGCACCCUGGUGCCUGGGCUGCCUCGCACGCGCGGGGCCUGCGUUCUUUGGUUGUGUUGCAUGAGCUUGGUGGGUCGGUGUGUUUCGUGUCGGUGAGGUGCUCUGUAGCGGCCAAAUGCAAUUGAUGUUAUCCUUUGUACUCUUGUUCUGUCCGUCUCUUUCUCUGUUUGGCGUUGGUCUAUUUGAGGUGUGUGGCUAUGGGUCAGUUUGGAUCGAUGCCUGAACACCGUGCCUGGGCAAAUUGGGUUCCUGGAUCUAGCCUGAGAAGAUGCGAAAUAUUGCCUGGCCAGGCUGGCCUCGUGCAUGUGCGUUUGGUUCGUGUCCAUGGCCCUCCUGCUGUUUGUCAGAGUAUUUGCUGCGCGUCAGAGUCCUUAAAGUGUUUAAAUACUACCAGGCUGCUACUAUAGCACCUCCAGGCAUAAAGAAUGGGACGCCUGGGCCAGGCUAAGUACCCUGCCUGGAAAAGCAACUUCUUUUCUUUCCCAUUUUUUAAUUGAACCAGGAUAAUCACAUGACCAGGACAUGCACGCAUCUUCUUUGUCAGGACACUAAACAAACAAGUACCAGGAAGAGUACAUGCACCAACUAGGCCAGGCGUGUGACGGCAUGGAAGCGAACCAAACUGACCCUAUAUGCCGAGACGCAGCCGGCUCGCCACCGGUGUCCCAUCGCCGGCUCAUCGCCGUCCGUGUCCACUGCCCAGCCACUUAAGCCGCCAAGGUCGUACCGCGUCCUGCCCCACCCACAGACCAGCCCAUCGCUUCUCUUGCGGCCGCUGCCGAUAUUGGGGCCAGCGUUGCCAGGGAAAGCAAGGAGAAAAAGAAUACCAGGAGGAAGAACAGAAGGAAGUCGGCAUCAUUCGCG